UACGGGGGGGGCAAGCGUUGUUCGGAAUUACUGGGCGUAAAGGGCGCGUAGGCGGCCUGCUAAGUCGGGUGUGAAAGCCCUCGGCUCAACCGAGGAAGUGCAUUCGAAACUGAGGGGCUUGAAUACUGGAGAGGAUGGCGGAAUUCCCGGUGUAGAGGUGAAAUUCGUAGAUAUCUGGAGGAACACCGGUGGCGAAGGCGGCAUCCUGGACCGGUAUUGACGCUGAGGCGCGAAAGCCAGGGGAGCGAACGGG
rnacentral:rRNA from 1 species